rnacentral:tRNA from 1 species
GCCUGGCUGGCUCAGUUGGCAGAGUGUGUGACUCUUGAUCUCAGGGUCAUGAGUUCGAGCCCCAUGCUGGACA